rnacentral:rRNA from 1 species
AGUGAACGCUGGCGGUAGGCCUAACACAUGCAAGUCGAACGGCAGCACAGUAAGAGCUUGCUCUUACGGGUGGCGAGUGGCGGACGGGUGAGGAAUACAUCGGAAUCUACUUUUUCGUGGGGGAUAACGUAGGGAGACUUACGCUAAUACCGCAUACGACCUACGGGUGAAAGCAGGGGAUCUUCGGACCUUGCGCGAUUGAAUGAGCCGAUGUCGGAUUAGCUAGUUGGCGGGGUAAAGGCCCACCAAGGCGACGAUCCGUAGCUGGUCUGAGAGGGUGAUCAGCCACACUGGAACUGAGACACGGUCCAGACUCCUACGGGAGGAAGCAGAGGGGAAUAUUGGACAAUGGGCGCAAGCCUGAUCCAGCAAGACCGCGUGGGUGAAGAAGGCCUUCGGGUUGUAAAGCCCUUUUGUUGGGAAAGAAAAGCAGCAGGUUAAUACCCCGCUGUUCUGACGGUACCCAAAGAAUAAGCACCGGCUAACUUCGUG